ensembl:lncRNA
UUUCAAAUCCCUGUCGUGGCAGCACGGGUAAGGCAGAGGACUUUUCUCCCCUUCAAACUAAGGGGAAAACCCACCAGCGAGAAUCUAGUGCACGUCCUAAAGAGCAAACGGAGGACUUUGGGAGGAGGAAACAGUAGUUUGAAGGCACGCUGCGGUGGCAUCGGCUCGCUGUGUGCACUAGUGUCUCCACGCUUGCACUGGAUACACGAAGCAGGACGUUUUCACUGAUCUGCGACUCGCAGGAUCCCCGUGAUCUCCCUGAAAGCCGCCAAACGUUCACACGGUGAGUCGCGCGUUUAUUUACUGCUCUCGCGCUUAUGCAACAUUCUCUCGUGUUCUUCUGCCGUACUACGCUAAUUCCAGCGUACGCUAGCUGCGUGCUUUGACAGGUCAGCGGUCCUAAAGCUAAAACGAUUAAUUCCCGUCACUCUCCACAGUGAAAGACUACAGGCUUCAGUACACGCGGGCUUUUGCAUGUUAAGUACGGCUGACAUUGCACAGGUUGCCGGCGCGAGAGUGUCUUGGUGUAUUAUGUGCCUGCUAUACACAUACAUACACACACACACACACGCGCGCGCACUCUACUGUACCGAAGCUGGCAUGUGUUUUGUGCUGAUGGGUUCACUUCAGGUGCUCUUUUCCACCUAAAAACAUGUGCACAGUAACAAGAGACAGUACCAACAGGUAAGUUAAGUAAGUGAAGGAUUUGUAGCGAUGAAAAUAUGAGUUU